UUACAGAAGGUGGGUUAGGAACCAUCUUCUGUAAAUAUUAUUUUUUAAGCAUAGGGAGGCUUAAU
rnacentral:sRNA from 1 species